AUUGAACGCUGGCGGCAGGCCUAACACAUGCAAGUCGAGCGGAUGAAGAGAGCUUGCUCUCUGAUUCAGCGGCGGACGGGUGAGUAAUGCCUAGGAAUCUGCCUGGUAGUGGGGGACAACGUUUCGAAAGGAACGCUAAUACCGCAUACGUCCUACGGGAGAAAGCAGGGGACCUUCGGGCCUUGCGCUAUCAGAUGAGCCUAGGUCGGAUUAGCUAGUAGGUGGGGUAAAGGCUCACCUAGGCGACGAUCCGUAACUGGUCUGAGAGGAUGAUCAGUCACAAUGGAACUGAGACACGGUCCAGACUCCUACGGGAGGCAGCAGUGGGGAAUAUUGGACAAUGGGCGAAAGCCUGAUCCAGCCAUGCCGCGUGUGUGAAGAAGGUCUUAGGAUUGUAAAGCACUUUAAGUUGGGAGGAAGGGCAGUAAGCUAAUACCUUGCUGUUUUGACGUUACCAACAGAAUAAGCACCGGCUAACUUCGUGCCAGCAGCCGCCGUAACAC
rnacentral:rRNA from 1 species